UCGAGCGGACAGAUGGGAGCUUGCUCCCUGAUGUUAGCGGCGGACGGGUGAGUAACACGUGGGUAACCUGCCUGUAAGACUGGGAUAACUCCGGGAAACCGGGGCUAAUACCGGAUGCUUGUUUGAACCGCAUGGUUCAAACAUAAAAGGUGGCUUCGGCUACCACUUACAGAUGGACCCGCGGCGCAUUAGCUAGUUGGUGAGGUAAUGGCUCACCAAGGCAACGAUGCGUAGCCGACCUGAGAGGGUGAUCGGCCACACUGGGACUGAGACACGGCCCAGACUCCUACGGGAGGCAGCAGUAGGGAAUCUUCCGCAAUGGACGAAAGUCUGACGGAGCAACGCCGCGUGAGUGAUGAAGGUUUUCGGAUCGUAAAGCUCUGUUGUUAGGGAAGAACAAGUACCGUUCGAAUAGGGCGGUACCUUGACGGUACCUAACCAGAAAGCCACGGCUAACUACGUGCCAGCAGCCGCGGUAAUACGUAGGUGGCAAGCGUUGUCCGGAAUUAUUGGGCGUAAAGGGCUCGCAGGCGGUUUCUUAAGUCUGAUGUGAAAGCCCCCGGCUCAACCGGGGAGGGUCAUUGGAAACUGGGGAACUUGAGUGCAGAAGAGGAGAGUGGAAUUCCACGUGUAGCGGUGAAAUGCGUAGAGAUGUGGAGGAACACCAGUGGCGAAGGCGACUCUCUGGUCUGUAACUGACGCUGAGGAGCGAAAGCGUGGGGGAGCGAACAGGAUUAGAUACCCUGGUAGUCCACGCCGUAAACGAUGAGUGCUAAGUGUUAGGGGGUUUCCGCCCCUUAGUGCUGCAGCUAACGCAUUAAGCACUCCGCCUGGGGAGUACGGUCGCAAGACUGAAACUCAAAGGAAUUGACGGGGGCCCGCACAAGCGGUGGAGCAUGUGGUUUAAUUCGAAGCAACGCGAAGAACCUUACCAGGUCUUGACAUCCUCUGACAAUCCUAGAGAUAGGACGUCCCCUUCGGGGGCAGAGUGACAGGUGGUGCAUGGUUGUCGUCAGCUCGUGUCGUGAGAUGUUGGGUUAAGUCCCGCAACGAGCGCAACCCUUGAUCUUAGUUGCCAGCAUUCAGUUGGGCACUCUAAGGUGACUGCCGGUGACAAACCGGAGGAAGGUGGGGAUGACGUCAAAUCAUCAUGCCCCUUAUGACCUGGGCUACACACGUGCUACAAUGGACAGAACAAAGGGCAGCGAAACCGCGAGGUUAAGCCAAUCCCACAAAUCUGUUCUCAGUUCGGAUCGCAGUCUGCAACUCGACUGCGUGAAGCUGGAAUCGCUA
rnacentral:rRNA from 1 species